GACGAACGCUGGCGGCGUGCUUAACACAUGCAAGUCGAACGGAAAGGCCCUGCUUUUGUGGGGUGCUCGAGUGGCGAACGGGUGAGUAACACGUGAGUAACCUGCCCUUGACUUUGGGAUAACUUCAGGAAACUGGGGCUAAUACCGGAUAGGAGCUCCUGCUGCAUGGUGGGGGUUGGAAAGUUUCGGUGGUUGGGGAUGGACUCGCGGCUUAUCAGCUUGUUGGUGGGGUAGUGGCUUACCAAGGCUUUGACGGGUAGCCGGCCUGAGAGGGUGACCGGCCACAUUGGGACUGAGAUGCGGCCCAGACUCCUACGGGAGGCAGCAGUGGAGUAUGGUGCACAAUGGGCGGAAGCCUGAUGCAGCAACGCCGCGUGCGGGAUGACGGCCUUCGGGUUGUAAUCCGCUGUCGCCUGUGACGAAGCGUGAGUGACGGUAAUGGGUAAAGAAGCACCGGCUAACUACGUG
rnacentral:rRNA from 1 species